CGGGUGAGUAACACGUGGAUAACCUACCUAUAAGACUGGGAUAACUUCGGGAAACCGGAGCUAAUACCGGAUAAUAUUUUGAACCGCAUGGUUCAAAAGUGAAAGACGGUCUUGCUGUCACUUAUAGAUGGAUCCGCGCUGCAUUAGCUAGUUGGUAAGGUAACGGCUUACCAAGGCAACGAUGCAUAGCUGACCUGAGAGGGUGAUCGGCCACACUGGAACUGAGACACGGUCCAG
rnacentral:rRNA from 1 species